rnacentral:tRNA from 1 species
CAGAAUAGUAGUUUAAUAAAAAUAUUAGCAUUGGAAGCUAAAGAUUAGGCUGAUCCUACUUUCUGA